CUUGAUAGGUAUGAUUUAUGGCUUUGAGCAUAUGUUUGUGAAUAAAAAAGUGUUUAACCAUAGAAAUUACCUCAUUACCAAUAAUAUCCCAACAUUGCUGAUAAAAAGCUGCUUGAAAUCCAUCAUUUCCUGAAGAUGUCCAAGGUCUGAUCUGAAAAACUGCAUCCUUGAUUUCUUGAGCAUCCGAUAUCUGGAUAAGAGAAUCAUUCUGAGUUGUAGAAAUAGAUGGAGGGAAAAUGUAACGACCCGAAUAAUUUUGUUGGGCUUUGAGCUCUAGCACAACCAAUAUUUGACUGGAACUCGCUCUCCGUUUACGAUUAAGGAUUUUGAAACGCAAAGAGUACGAAGAAAAGUUGUGGCAGUAAGCCGGGAGAGCUUACGGGAGCAUUAGCGCUAUGAAAGUUGGUAUUCUCAUACUUUUUGAUGUGUAUAUCAGGGGGUACCUGGGAGUUUAGUUUGUUUGCCUUGAUCCCAUAUCAUUUUGUAUAUUUUGCUGUUAUCAUUGGGAUUUUGGACAUGAUCUCAAUAUGGUCUGUAACAAAAAAAAAAACUUGUCUGUUUCGUAUACAAUGGUUUUGGUCUUGGGUAUUAAGUGCUUGUCUAAUUUUGUUAAAACUCUUGAACUUGAUUAAUUUUGCUGCUUAUAGUUUAGUUUACUGUAUUUUAUGUACAAUAUGUCUUUUACCUUGACAUGAAUUUACUAAGUUAUCAAGGGUGUUAGCCUAAGUUUUUAAUUUCCAGUAUCUACAAGUCAUUUGUUUGGAACUUCAUAGAUGACAACAAACUUUGUUUUCAUGGUUUACCACUUAAAGGGAAUUCUUCUUGUA